AAUGUGUGACACCAUUGACUUUUUGUCCAACGUUUGACCAUUCGUCUUAUUAAAAAAAUUAUGUAAUUAUCAUUUAUUUUAUUAUGACUUGAUUCGUCAUCAAAUGUUUUAAGCAUGACAUAAAUAUUUUCAUAUUUGCACAAAAAUUUUGAAUAAAACGAAUGGUCAAACGUUGAUCGAAAAGUCA
rfam:Oryza glaberrima chromosome 3 Oglab03_0075_3, whole genome shotgun sequence.